rnacentral:rRNA from 1 species
CAGUCGAACGCUCGUAGCAAUACGGGAGUGGCAGACGGGUGAGUAACGCGUGGGAACAUACCCUCCGGUUCGGAAUAGCUCAGGGAAACUUGGAUUAAUACCGGAUACGGCUGUGAGGCGAAAGAUUUAUCGCCGGAGGAUUGGCCCGCGUUCGAUUAGCUUGUUGGUGAAGUAACGGCUCACCAAGGCGAUGAUCGAUAGCUGGUCUGAGAGGAUGAUCAGCCACAUUGGGACUGAGACACGGCCCAAACUCCUACGGGAGGCAGCAGUGGGGAAUAUUGGACAAUGGGCGCAAGCCUGAUCCAGCCAUGCCGCGUGAGUGAUGACGGCCUUAGGGUUGUAAAGCUCUUUCGCUCGGGACGAUAAUGACGGUACCGAGAUAAGAAGCCCCGGCUAACUUCGUGCCAGCAGCCGCGAAGGGCG